rnacentral:rRNA from 1 species
CCUACGGGUGGCAGCAGUGGGGAAUAUUGCACAAUGGGGGAAACCCUGAUGCAGCGACGCCGCGUGAGUGAAGAAGGUAUUCGGUAUGUAAAGUCCUAUUAGUAGGGAAGAUAAUGACGGUAUCUGAGGAAGAAGCCCCGGCUAACUACGUGCCAGCAGCCGCGGUAAUACGGAGGGAGCAAGCGUUAUUCGGAUUGACUGGGUGUAAAGAGGGCGUAGGCGGGAGAGCAAGUCAGAAGUGAAAGGCUAGGGCUUAACCAUAGAACUGCUUUUGAAACUGUACGGCUAGAGUGAAGGAGAGGUAGGUGGAAUUCCUGGUGUAGCGGUGAAAUGCGUAGAUAUUAAGAGGAACACCAGUGGCGAAGGCGGCCUGCUGGAAUGUAACUGACGUUGAGGCGCGAAAGCGUGGGGAGCAAACAGGAUUAGAUACCCCUGUAGUC